rnacentral:rRNA from 1 species
AUGUACUACUUUGAUAAUCCUGAGAAAACCCCAUUCAAUUAUGUUAUGGGAGACACGUUGGAUCAACGUGAAUACUUUAGGGAUUAUUGCUUGACACAAAAAGGGAAACUAUUAUGGGAUCAAAUUUAUAUGUUGUAUUGGUAUGCCAGGCAACUAUGCUUGAGAUAUGAUUAUACUUGUUGCUCUAGGAUGAAGGCUCCACACCUUCCCUUUUCAUGCAAAUUUAAUGAUUAUAAAACCUUAGCUUCUUAUGCUAAUGGUAUAUAUGAUUACUAUGAUGUGGAACAAAUAGAAGAAUUUUUUGCUUUUUAUGGGUGCUUAUGA